rnacentral:lncRNA from 1 species
GUGGUGGUGGUGGUGGUGGUGGUGGUGGUGGUUGGGGUGGUGGUGGUGGAAGUGACACCAGUGGAGGUGGUUUCAGUGGUGGGAGAUGGAGAAGACAUUAAUCCAGACGUGGUGGAGGCCGUUGUGGUCACAGGUGUGGAGGUGAGGCCUGUGGAGGUGCCUGGAGUUGUACUGGAGGCUGUGGUGGUCUCAGAUGACGUGGUGGAGGACAAUGUGGAGGUCAUGAGUGUUGUAGUGAGGCCUGUGGAGGUCCCUGGAGUGGUUGAGGAGGCCGUGGAGGUCACGGAAGAGGUUGUGGAGGCCACAGAGGAGGUCCCCAAAGUGGAGGUAAGGCCUGUGGAUGUUGCUGGAGUUGUGCUGGAGACGGUGGAGGUCUCAGCUGAGGUCAUGGAGGAUGAUGUGGUGGUCACUGGUGUGGUUGAGGAGACUGUGGAGGUCUCGGAGGAGGUGGUAGAGGCUGUUGUGGAGGACACAGCUGAGGAUGUGAGGCCAGUGGAGGUGCCGGGAGUUGUACUGGAGGACGUGGAGGUCUCAGCUGAGGUGGUGGAGGCCACGGUGGAGGUCAAAGGAGUGGAGGUGAGGCCUGAGGAGGUCCCUGGAGUGGUUGAGGAGGCCAUGGAAGUCUCAGCUGAAGUGGUGGAGGCCACACUUGUGGUCAAAAGAGUGGAGGAAGCAGUGGAGGUCUCUGAGGAGGUGGUGGAGGCCACUGUUGAGGUCACAGCUGUGGAGGUGAGGGCUGUGGAGGUCAAUGGUGUGGUUGAGGAGGCCGUGGAGGUUUCAGAGGAUGUGGUGGAGUCUGUGGAGGUCUCCUGGGAGGUGGUGGAGGUUAUUGUGGAGGUCACUGGAGUGGUGGUGAGGCCUGUGGUGGUCCCUGGAGCUGUACUGGAGGCCGUGGAGGUCUCAGCUGAGGUGUUGGAGGCUGCUGUGGAGGUCUCGGGGGUUGUAGUGAGUUUUGUGGAGGUCCCAGGAGUGGUUGAGUAGAAAGUGGAGGUCUCUGAGGAGGAGGUGGAUGCCGUGGUAGAGGUCCCUGGAGUGGAGGUGAGACCUGUGGAGGUUCCUGGAGCUGUACUGGAGGCUGUGGUGGUCUCAGCUGAUGUGGUGGAGGCCACAGUGGAGGUCAUGGAGGUUGUACUGAGUCCUGUGGAGGUUCCUGGAGUGGUUGAGGACACAGUGGAGUUCUCUGAGGAGGUGGUGGAGGCCGUGGUAGUGGACGCUGGAGUAGAGGUCAGGCCUGUGGAGGUUCCUGCUGUUGUACUGGAAGCGGUGGAGGUCUCAACUGAGGUGGUGGAGGCUGCUGUGGAGGUCACGACGGUUGAUGUGAGUCCUGUGGAGGUCCCUGGAGUGGUUGAGGAGGCUGUGGAGGUCUCUUGGGAGGUGGUGGAGGCCGUGGUAGUGGACGCUGGAGUAGAGGUCAGGCCUGUGGAGGUUCCUGCUGUUGUACUGGAAGCGGUGGAGGUCUCAACUGAGGUGGUGGAGGCCACAGUGGAGGUCCCCAAAGUGGAGGUGAGGCCUGUGGAUGUUGCUGGAGUUGUGCUGGAGACAGUGGAGGUCUCACCAGAGGUUGUGGAGGAUGAUGUGGAGGUCACCAGAGUGGAGGUGAGGCCUGUGGUGGUCCCUGGAGUUGUACUGGAGGCUGUGGAGGUCUCAGCUGAGGUGUUGGAGGCUGCUGUGGAGGUCACGGGGGUUGUAGUGAGUCUUGUGGAGGUCCCAGCAGUUGUUGAGUAGAAAGUGGAGGUCUCUGAGGUGGUUGUGGAGGCUGUGGUAGAGGUCC